AUUGAACGCUGGCGGCAGGCCUAACACAUGCAAGUCGAGCGGAUGAAGGGAGCUUGCUCCUGGAUUCAGCGGCGGACAGGUGAGUAAUGCCUAGGAAUCUGCCUGGUAGUGGGGGAUAACGUCCGGAAACGGGCGCUAAUACCGCAUACGUCCUGAGGGAGAAAGUGGGGGAUCUUCGGACCUCACGCUCUCAGAUGAGCCUAGGUCGGAUUAGCUAGUUGGUGGGGUAAAGGCCUACCAAGGCGACGAUCCGUAACUGGUCUGAGAGGAUGAUCAGUCACACUGGAACUGAGACACGGUCCACACUCCUACGGGAGGCAGCAGUGGGGAAUAUUGGACAAUGGGCGAAAGCCUGAUCCAGCCAUGCCGCGUGUGUGAAGAAGGUCUUCGGAUUGUAAAGCACUUUAAGUUGGGAGGAAGGGCAGUAAGUUAAUACCUUGCUGUUUUGACGUUACCAAAAGAAUAAGCACCGGCUAACUUCGUG
rnacentral:rRNA from 1 species